CUACGGGGUGCUCCAGUGGGGAAUAUUGCACAAUGGGCGCAAGCCUGAUGCAGCCAUGCCGCGUGUAUGAAGAAGGCCUUCGGGUUGUAAAGUACUUUCAGCGGGGAGGAAGGGAGUAAAGUUAAUACCUUUGCUCAUUGACGUUACCCGCAGAAGAAGCACCGGCUAACUCCGUGCCAGCAGCCGCGGUAAUACGGAGGGUGCAAGCGUGUAAUCGGAAUUACUGGGCGUAAAGCGCACGCAGGCGGUUUGUUAAGUCAGAUGUGAAAUCCCCGGGCUCAACCUGGGAACUGCAUCUGAUAGGGCAAGGCUGGAGGCUCGUAGAGGGGGGUAGAAUUCCAGGUGUAGCGGUGAAAUGCGAGGAGAUCUGGAGGAAUACCGGUGGCGAGGGGGGCCCCCGGAACGAAGCCUAACGUUAAGGUGCGAAACCUUGGGAAGCAACCAGGAUAGAUACCCUUGUAGUC
rnacentral:rRNA from 1 species